rnacentral:misc_RNA from 1 species
GUAGGUGAACCUGCGGAAGGAUCAUUAAUAAAAAUAUAAUAAUAUUAUUAUUAUAAAUCACCUCAUUGUGCAUUAAAAAAAUAUUUUUUUAUCAAAUCUAUGUCUUAAUAAUAAUUAAAAUAAAUAAUAAUAAUAAAACUUUCAACAACGGAUCUCUUGGCUCUC